rnacentral:rRNA from 1 species
AAUAGAUACCCGGGUAGUCCACGCCGUAAACGAUGAGUGCUAAGUGUUAGAGGGUUUCCGCCCUUUAGUGCUGCAGCUAACGCAUUAAGCACUCCGCCUGGGGAGUACGGCCGCAAGGCUGAAACUCAAAGGAAUUGACGGGGGCCCGCACAAGCGGUGGAGCAUGUGGUUUAAUUCGAAGCAACGCGGAGAACCUUACCAGGUCUUGACAUCCUCUGCCAACCCUAGAGAUAGGGCGUUCCCCUUCGGGGGACAGAGUGACAGGUGGUGCAUGGUUGUCGUCAGCUCGUGUCGUGAGAUGUUGGGUUAAGUCCCGCAACGAGCGCAACCCUUGAUCUUAGUUGCCAGCAUUCAGUUGGGCACUCUAAGGUGACUGCCGGUGACAAACCGGAGGAAGGUGGGGAUGACGUCAAAUCAUCAUGCCCCUUAUGACCUGGGCUACACACGUGCUACAAUGGAUGGUACAAAGAGCAGCGAAUCCGCGAGGGUAAGCCAAUCUCAUAAAGCCAUUCUCAGUUCGGAUUGUAGGC